GAAUAUUGGACAAUGGGCGAAAGCCUGAUCCAGCCAUGCCGCGUGUGUGAAGAAGGUCUUCGGAUUGUAAAGCACUUUAAGUUGGGAGGAAGGGCAGUAAGCGAAUACCUUGCUGUUUUUACGUUACCAACAGAAUCAGCCACGGCUCUCUCUGUUCCCGCAUCCGCGGUAAUACAGAGGGUGCAAGCGUUAAUCGGAAUUACUGGGCGUAAAGCGCGCGUAGGUGGUUCGUUAAGUUGGAUGUGAAAGCCCCGGGCUCAACCUGGGAACUGCAUCCAAAACUGGCGAGCUAGAGUAGGGCAGAGGGUGGUGGAAUUUCCUGUGUAGCGGUGAAAUGCGUAGAUAUAGGAAGGAACACCAGUGGCGAAGGCGACCACCUGGGCUCAUACUGACACUGAGGUGCGAAAGCGUGGGGAGCAAACA
rnacentral:rRNA from 1 species